rnacentral:rRNA from 1 species
AGAACGAACGCUGGCGGCGUGCUUAACACAUGCAAGUCGAACGAGAAACCUCGAGCUUGCUCGAGGGAGUAAAGUGGCGCACGGGUGAGUAACACGUGGGUAACCUGCCCCCGAAUCUGGGAUAACUUCGCGAAAGCGUUGCUAAUACCGGAUAUUGUCCUAUCGGUUGUGACCUUUGGGAUGAAAGGCAACCUCUUCAUGAAAGUUGUCGUUCAGGGAUGGGCCCGCGUACCAUUAGCUUGUUAGUGGGGUAACGGCUCACCAAGGCUACGAUGGUUAGCUGGUCUGAGAGGAUGAUCAGCCACACUGGAACUGAAACACGGUCCAGACUCCUACGGGAGGCAGCAGUGAGGAAUUUUGCGCAAUGGGGGAAACCCUGACGCAGCAACGCCGCGUGAGUGAAGAAGGCUUUCGGGUCGUAAAGCUCUGUCAAGUGGGAAAAAAGUCUGAUGAUUAAUAGUUGUCAGAUUUGAUGGUACCACUGGAGGAAGCACCGGCUAACUCCGUGCCAGCAGCCGCGGUAAUACGGAGGGUGCAAGCGUUGUUCGGAAUUACUGGGCGUAAAGGGCGUGCAGGCGGGUUGGUAAGUCAGAUGUGAAAGCCCUGGGCUUAACCCAGGAAGUGCAUUUGAAACUGCCAUCCUAGAGUAUGGGAGAGGAGAGUGGAAUUCCCAAUGUAGAGGUGAAAUUCGUAGAUAUUGGGAGGAACACCCGUGGCGAAGGCGACUCUCUGGACCAAUACUGACGCUGAGACGCGAAAGCGUGGGGAGCAAACAGGAUUAGAUACCCUGGUAGUCCACGCUGUAAACGAUGA